rnacentral:rRNA from 1 species
CGGCAACAGCUCAAAUUUGAAAUCUGGCUCCCUUGGGUGCCCGAGUUGUAAUUUGCAGAGGGUGCUUUGGCGUCGGCCGCGGCCUAAGUUCCUUGGAACAGGUCGUCAUAGAGGGUGAGAACCCCGUACGUGGCCGCCGGUCUUCGCCGUGUAAAGCCCCUUCGAC